rnacentral:rRNA from 1 species
UCCGUAGGGUGCGAGCGUUAAUCGGAAUUACUGGGCGUAAAGCGUGCGCAGGCGGUUCGUUAAGUUCGAUGUGAAAGCCCCGGGCUCAACCUGGGAACUGCAUUGGAAACUGGCGAGCUUGAAUGCGGCAGAGGGGGGUGGAAUUCCGCGUGUAGCAGUGAAAUGCGUAGAGAUGCGGAGGAACACCGAUGGCGAAGGCAGCCCCCUGGGCCGACAUUGACGCUCAGGCACGAAAGCGUGGGGAGCAAACAGG